CACUAGGAAGCUAAAUUGGUAUAAAGCAUUAGCCUUUUAAGCUAAGGAUUGGUGGCUACCUCCCACCCCUAGUGG
rnacentral:tRNA from 1 species